UCUGCGCGCUCCCGUGACAAUUUCAGUUCCAGAAGCUGUAGUUUCCUCCGCAAUGCACUGUUUUCUUUCUGGCUGUGAGUUAUUUCCAACCGAAACACUGCAUAGUCGUCGUCAACGAGUUUACAGACCUCUGCCACGGCUGCAUUCGCUAGCACCUCCAUUAUGGAGGCUAUUUGAGUGUGAAAAACCAUACAGUUAGCAGCCAUUGUUAACUAACUUAGCAGCUAGGUAGCGUUACCUAGAUAGCUAACCUCUAUUAAUCAAGUCCUGUUUCCAACGCGGAUUAAAUACUACAUGGGUCCCUCAGUUGAACAUCUGGAUAUGAUCACAUUCUCACAUAGAUGUGACGCCAAAGGAGAAGACAGACUUGCUGCUAGACUAUAUCCAGGGGGGUCUCCCACCACUCUCUAUGAAGGCUGAGACUGUGAAGAGAAGGGUCUGGGCUGCAGACUGGAUCCCUGAUUGGAUCCUCUGUCUCUCUGUUGACCACCAGGACUGAGGUUGUUCAGUCCAGCUGUCGUGUUGUGGUGAAGUCUCGGUCCUUCGCGGUUUGGUCCUGGUCCCGACUCUGGAAGGAAGAGCGGCGGCUCCUGAUCAGGGUCCAGGGUUUGUGACCAGCAUCAUCAGAGGUCCACUCUCUCCCACCAGUAACACUGGAUAUCAGCAGGUCUUCAGGGACAGCAGACUGUAAACAAAGUUUAUACAGAAAAGCAUAAAGGGUUAUAAGACAUUCUUUGCUGUACAUACAGAAGCAUGACAUGAUGUUAUAAAAUGUUAACCAG